UGGGGAAUAUUGGGGCAAUGGGCGAAAGCCUGACCCAGCAACGCCGCGUGAGGGAAGAAGGUUUUCGGACUGUAAACCUCUGUCCUUGGUGACGAAGGAAGUGACGGUAGCCAAGGAGGAAGCCCCGGCUAACUACGUGCCAGCAGCCGCGGUAAUACGUAGGGGGCGAGCGUUGUCCGGAAUGAUUGGGCGUAAAGGGCGCGUAGGCGGCCUGCUAAGUCUGGAGUGAAAGUCCUGCUUUCAAGGUGGGAAUUGCUUUGGAUACUGGGAGGCUGGAGUGCAGGAGAGGAAAGCGGAAUUACCGGUGUAGCGGUGAAAUGCGUAGAGAUCGGUAGGAACACCAGUGGCGAAGGCGGCUUUCUGGACUGUAACUGACGCUGAGGCGCGAAAGCGUGGGGAGCAAACAAGAUUAGAUACCCUGGUAGU
rnacentral:rRNA from 1 species